AGGAGAAGGAGGAGGAGGAGGUGGAGGAGGAGGAGAAGAAGGAGCGUUACAGAUGGUCGAGGACACUUGGCAACGUUGCUGACGCGCGGGGACGAAGCCAGUUCGGGCCUUGAUCAUGGUGGCGCUUCAUGCGAAGGGGGAAGGAAGCUGCAUCGGCAGCGCCUCCAUAUAGUCGUCUCUUUCUUUCUUUCUUUCUCUUUCUCUUACUCUUUCUCUCUCUCUCUCUCUCUCUCUCUCUCUCUCUCUUCCUCUCUCUAUCGAACACGAGCUCUUCCACGUAGGGAGGAAGAGCAGGAAGGUAGGAGCAAGGAUGCCCGAACCAAGCAAAAGAGAGAUAGAGACUUGGUGAUCGAAGGGGCAUGAGGAGAGGCGCAGCAACACGAGUACUGAGAGAGUACUACGAGCAGCUCGACUCGUAUACUCGUGAUCUCUCUAGCGGGUGUCCCGGAUUGAUCGACGCCGUUCCGCCUACCGGGUGGUCCUUUUCUUCAUUUCAGAGAUCACUCGAAUUCGAGAUAGGUCAACGUUCUGCGUUAACUCUUAAUUAUCUCAAAAAAAAAACUAUAUCAUAAUGCUUAUUGGAUCUUGACGAUCUCAAUAAUUUGGGAAUAUGAAUUCGUAAAUGAUUUUAAAUGCAUGUCGACGCUCAAGAGUGGAUCGUUAUUUAUAAGAAGUUAUCCUUCGAUCAAAGGAUAAUUACAAUUCUCUUGCUUUAAAGUAAAAGAAAAAAAAAGAAAAAAAAAAAGAAAAAAAAAAGAAAAAAAAAAGGAAAAAAAAAGCAAAAGAAUAAAAAGGAAAAGAAGAAAAAAGAAAAGAAAGAAUAAAAUUCUUGAGCGUUCGAAAAUCCUUGCGCGUUGAAGGUGCUGCUACCUAGGGGAAGACGCAGAAAGCGUGACGUUACGCUUAUUUCCCGUGGCGGGAAAAUGCUAGUUGAAAUACCGGAAGAAGAAAUAGGAGGACUGUCUGCCCUGUUAUGAUCUUCGCGCUUGAAUCGUACAAAAAGUGGUCGUUAAGACGUUGACUGUUUGCAAUGGUCUACCUUGCAACCAUGCUAAAAAAGUAAUUGGUUAAUAACAUCCAAGCGCGCUGCUGUCAAGCACAAGAUUAUUAUUGGAUUAUUACAAUCUAUAUAACUCUCGCGAGCGAGCGCGGGCAUUUUCGAAAAAGUCAUCACGAUAUACCGGAAUAAAUCGGUCCUUUCGUUCCGUAUACUCACAGUUUUCUAUAUCUCGAAGAUAUGUCCUUCGUAUGUAAGAGAACUUUCGUCUUAUUUAUUUAAUUACAUAUCCAUUUACGCAUUAUACGGACAUAUUUCUCGAUCACCUUUCGACGAGGUCAAGAGUACGUGCUCAAGCGCGAACGAACUCGUCGAAUCGGUAAAAGAGUAGAAGAAGAAGAAGAAGAAGAAGAAGAAGAAGAAGAAGAAGAAGAAGAAGAAGAAGAAGAAGAAGAAGACGAAGAAUAAGAAAUCUCAGGGGAUCCUGAGGACGCCUCGUGUCUCGCGUUCCGUGUAAAAGCUUUUUACUCAGAGGUUACAAGGAGCUGGGCUGGUAGGGCGAUCGCGUCUGUCCUUUCGGUUGAGAAAAACGGUUUCUUGGACAAAGGAAAUCCCAAGCAUCCUUUUUCUCUUUCUCUCUCUCUUUCCUUAGCCCCAGUAUUCUCAUUGAACCAUUUGGUGCGUUUACGUGUCUCCUCUAUACUCGAUGUGUGUGAGUGGGGCCAAUAAAAAUUUGGCCCUCAUUUCCAAAGGCAGAAGUGCGCAAUCGAACGCUUAGGUACGGGCGCAGGUAACGGCUUUAAGGAAGCUUCUUUAAUUUCUCGUCCUUGCGAGCCACCCUGUGUGCAUUGUGCACGAUCAAACUAUGCUAGGUUCCUAAGGAGGAGGCUAGGUAGAGUGAGAAACGAGUGUGAGAGAGGAAGAGUGAGAAGAAAAAGAGAAAGACAGAGAUAGAGACAGAGAGAGACAGAGAGAGAGAGAAAGAGAGAGAGAGAGAGAGAGAGAGAGAAAGAGAAGGGUAAAGGAGUGGUGCGCGCGCGCGCAAGGGAAGGCUUGCGUAGGGGUGGAUCGCGGAGGUGGCAACGGUGGGGAGAAAAAGGGGAAUCCAACGAGAGGGGAAGAGGUUAAAGGAGAGGGGAUCAGGCGCGACGUCGAUGAGAAGGUCACGCAACGUAGUCGCCACAGUAUUUAAAUAAUGUAUUAUUUCUAUCUGGGCGCCUCCGUGAGUAUCCUACGGCGCAUAGUCGAGGUGGGGAACGUGCCAGAGUCGAUGGAGGAGAAGAAGAGAGCGUCUCUGAGAUCCGCGGACUCGAAUUCCACUGUGUGCUCUCCUCGCUCCCUCCUUGCUCCUUCUCUGGUGCCAAGGGGAAACGAAAGAAAGUGAGAGAUAUAAAACGAUCGGAGAGAAUCCAACGAAGAAAGAACACUCCUCUGGCUUAUGGAAAUAACUGGCUCGUUCUUGUUCCACGAGUAUUUUUAAGGAUAAUGUUUGAAAUCCAAAAGACAUUUUACUAUUGAUAGGUCUGAUAGGAAAAACUCAUAAUGUAAAAAAGAAACAAUAGCUUAAAUACGAUGCUAUUAUCAUAUUAAGAGUUUACAUGAGUACUUAGGAACAUAUAUAAUGAGUACUAUUAUGUUUCUCCUAGAAGUUCAUCUGUAUUAGCAGCAGUAGCAGCUGCAGCAGCAGCAGCAGCAGCAACAACAACAACAACAACGAUAAUAACAAGAGCAACAACAACAACAACAACAACAAUAACAGAGACGAUGAUGACGACAGUGGCGUCGACACAGUCAGGACGGUGGCAACAUGCGCGCGCACAAACAUAUAUCUCAUAGAUACCGCACAGAGGAGGAGAGUAGAUCUCAGAAAUCCGUGUCGACUCUCAGAGAGAGAGAGAGAGAGAGAGAAGAAUAAGAAUAAGAAGAAAAAGAAGAAGAAGCCGACGCCAUAGCGGCACCUCGACCCAAUACGACUUACGCGUAUACCUUUGAGAAAUAAUUAGAAACCGAUAUGUACCACUACCGUAACGACUGUCACUGACUCUGCGUAACACACUUUAUAUUCAGCAUUCUCGAGACGAUUGAGGAGUAGGAGGAAGAAGAGGGAUGUAAGAUGAGGGGAGGAGAAGGGGUGAGGAGGACGACGAAUGUCUGUCUGACUUACUCUUUCUCGUAACGUUCCGUUAUUCGGCGCGUUGACUUUCGCACCCGGACCUCGCCUUCUUUUCCUUCGAUCAACGUUUUAACGAUUCGUUGCAUUUCGUAUAAAGUAAAAUAAGACAGAUAUAACCUCGAUCGAUAUCUCACCUCGAUAUAUCCUUCGGUAGUUAAGUAAGUUGAUUCACUUAGUACCUAGACUACAGGCGCACGCUUAUAAUAAGUUAUCUGACCUAUCGCAUAUACAUGUGUCACGAUACCAUAGACUUCGAAAUGAAGUGGCACGUUGUUCGAAAGAUAUCGAGAGAGAGAGAGAGAGAGAGAGAGAGAGAGAGAGAGAGAGAGAGAGAGAGAGAGAGAGAGAGACAGAGAGAGAAAGAGAGAGGUAGAGGGUGGGGAGAGAGAGGGAGAUAUGCGUAGUAUCUUCUUGGCAAGGAAGAUUUUUCGGAGGUCGAAUCGAAGUCUCGAAAGAAAGGAGCUAUGGAAAGAGAGAAAGAGGACCGAGAUAAAGAGAGAGACGAUCGAAGGUUUCCGCUUCGAUGCGGCAGGUGGUAGACUCGGGUUGGUUGUUGGGAUCGGGACUCGGUAGGACUCGAGCGAUUAUCGAGAGCCGUAGUACGGCCACGCCACUGAAAACGAGGAACAAGACCAAAAACUGUGAGUUCUCGGGGCAGACAGACGGGGCCCGUUGCGGGCUUCAUCUUGUUGGGUUGCGUCGUGGGCCGACCCCGUAAGGUACAUCGUCGUUCGGCAAAAGCUCCUACCAAAGAGACUAACAAAAAGGAAGGAAGGAAGAAAGAAAGAAAGAAAGAAAGAAAGAAAGAAAGAAAGAAAGAAGGAAAGAAAGAUGGCGUACGCGUGGGAGAGAGAAAACGGUUGAAAGAAAAGGCAAACAAGCGAGAUAAAGUCGGUUGAACGGUGAUGAGUUUCGUGGAAGGAACCGACGAAGAGAGUGAGGGGGAGAGAGAGAGAGAAGGAGAAAGAUAGAAAAAGAAAAGGAAGAAGGGCCUUAAUCCAAAAGCGAAGGACUACCUCUCCUACCCUUCUAUCUCUCUUUUCUAGGCACGCUCUGCUCUAAGGAAGAUAACCGAGAUAAUUCCAUCCUCUGACGCCGCUUAAUCUUUCGUUUGAAAAUGUUAAUGGAAUAGAGAAAUUAGUCACAUCGGUAAUAACAUUGGAUACUUUUGUAAACACGCACGUAAUUUCGAUAGGCAAAUUACUUAAUGUCAUAUUUCCCUUGCCUCCAUCCACCCCCAUCCCUAUUUCCCACCCUCUGGGAAACUAUGAUAAAACAACAAAGGACAGAGAGAGAGACAGAGAGAGAGAGAGAGAGAGAGAGAGAGAGAGA